rnacentral:rRNA from 1 species
GAUGAACGCUGACAGAAUGCUUAACACAUGCAAGUCAACUUGAACUUCGGUUUGGGUGGCGGACGGGUGAGUAACGCGUAAAGAACUUGCCUCACAGAUAGGGACAACAUUUGGAAACGCAUGCUAAUACCUGAUAUUAUGAUUUUAGGGCAUCCUAGAAUUAUGAAAGCUAUAUGCGCUGUGAGAGAGCUUUGCGUCCCAUUAGCUAGUUGGAGAGGUAACGGCUCACCGAGGCGAUGAUGGGUAGCCGGCCUGAGAGGGUGAUCGGCCACAAGGGGACUGAGACACGGCCCUUACUCCUACGGGAGGCAGCAGUGGGGAAUAUUGGACAAUGGACCAAAGAGCCUGAUCCAGCAAUCCUGUGUGCCUGCAUGAAGUUUUUUCGGAAUGUAAAGGGUUUUUCAGUUGGGGAAGAAAAAAAUGACGGUACCAACGGAAGAAGUGACGGGCUUAAAUACGGGCCAGCAGCCCGGGUAAAUACGUAUGUCGCAAGCCUUAUCCGGGAUUUAUUGGGCCUAAAGCGCGUUUGGAUGGGUAGUAAGCCUGACCGGGAAAAUGCUGGGCUUAA